rnacentral:rRNA from 1 species
AAGCAGGGGAUCGCAAGACCUUGCGCUUUUGGAGCGGCCGAUGUCUGAUUAGCUAGUUGGUGAGGUAAAGGCUUACCAAGGCUUCGAUCAGUAGCUGGUCUGAGAGGACGACCAGCCACACUGGGACUGAGACACGGCCCAGACUCCUACGGGAGGCAGCAGUGGGGAAUUUUGGACAAUGGGGGAAACCCUGAUCCAGCCAUGCCGCGUGAGUGAAGAAGGCCUUCGGGUUGUAAAGCUCUUUCAGCCGGAACGAAACGGUUACGGUUAAUACCCGUGACUAAU